rnacentral:rRNA from 1 species
UACGUAGGGUGCGAGCGUUGUCCGGAAUUAUUGGGCGUAAAGAGCUUGUAGGCGGUUUGUCGCGUCUGCUGUGAAAAUCCGGGGACUCAACCCCGGACUUGCAGUGGGUACGGGCAGACUAGAGUGUGGUAGGGGAGACUGGAAUUCCUGGUGUAGCGGUGAAAUGCGCAGAUAUCAGGAGGAACACCGAUGGCGAAGGCAGGUCUCUGGGCAGUAACUGACGCUGAGGAGCGAAAGCGUGGGGAGCGAACAGG